rnacentral:rRNA from 1 species
GAUGAACGCUGGCGGCGUGCCUAAUACAUGCAAGUCGAGCGAACAGACGAGGAGCUUGCUCCUCUGACGUUAGCGGCGGACGGGUGAGUAACACGUGGAUAACCUACCUAUAAGACUGGGAUAACUUCGGGAAACCGGAGCUAAUACCGGAUAAUAUAUUGAACCGCAUGGUUCAAUAGUGAAAGACGAUUUUGCUGUCACUUAUAGAUGGAUCCGCGCCGCAUUAGCUAGUUGGUAAGGUAACGGCUUACCAAGGCGACGAUGCGUAGCCGACCUGAGAGGGUGAUCGGCCACACUGGAACUGAGACACGGUCCAGACUCCUACGGGAGGCAGCAGUAGGGAAUCUACCGCAAUGGGCGAAAGCCUGACGGAGCAACGCCGCGUGAGUGAUGAAGGUCUUCGGAUCGUAAAACUCUGUUAUUAGGGAAGAACAAAUGUGUAAGUAACUAUGCACGUCUUGACGGUACCUAAUCAGAAAGCCACGGCUAACUACGUG